rnacentral:tRNA from 1 species
UCCUGGAAAGCUCAGUCAGUUGAGCAACAGGCUUUUAAUCUGAGGGUCCAGGGUUCAAGUCCCUGUUCGGGCG